rnacentral:tRNA from 1 species
GAGGGUAUAGCUCAGUGGUAGUGUGCAUGCUUAGCAUGCAUGAGGUCCUGGGUUCAAUUCCCAGUACCUCCA